CAAAAACAUGUCCUUUUGUUUUAAAUAUAAGGUCUAACCUGCCCGAUGAUUUUAUUGAAUGGCCGCGGUAUAUUAACUGUGCUAAGGUAGCAUAAUCACUUGUCUUUUAAUUUAAGGCUAGAAUGAAUGGUUGGACGAAGUACAUGCUUUCUUUAAUUUAGUUUAUGAACUUAAUUUUUUAGUUAAAAAGCUAAAAUGUAUUUGAGGGACGAGAAGACCCUGUAGAUCUUUAUAUGUUUAUUUGUUUAUUGUUUUAGUGAAUUAGUUUUUUAAUAAAUAUAUUUAUUUAGUUGGGGUGAUUGUAGAAUAUAAUUAACUUCUAUUUAUAUUUGUCAUUAAUUAGUGUUUGACUGAUCCAACUUUGUUGAUUAAAAGAUUAAGUUACCUCAGGGAUAACAGCGUAAUUUUUUCGGAGAGCCCUUAUCGAUGAAGGAGUUUGCGACCUCGAUGUUGGAUUAAAAUAAGUUUUGGGUGUAGGAGCUCAAUAACUAGGUCUGUUCGACCUUUUAUUUUUUACAUGAUCUGAGU
rnacentral:rRNA from 1 species